rnacentral:rRNA from 1 species
ACCCAAAUGUAACAGUUAAGGGCUAUUUAAAGGGGGUACAGCCCCUUUAAAAAAGGACACAACCUCCAUCAGCGGAUAACCCCCAUGCACCCAACCCUGUGGGCCUUAAAGCAGCCACCCCUAAAGAUUGCGUCAAAGCUCCGUCAACUAAAAACCUCAAAAAUCAAUGUGACUCCCUACACCCACAGCAGGCCAACCUAUGAUAAUAGAUGAGUCAAUGCUAGAACGAGUAACCAGGAUACCAUGUCCCCCCAAGCGCCAGCCUACACACUAUUAACAGCAAAACCUCAAUAAUAACCACCCCUCCUCACCAUUGAACACACCCUGUCAAUCCAACUCAGGGGCGCACACUGGAGUGAUCAAAAUCUACAAAAGGAACUCGGCAAACCCAAGACCCGACUGUUUACCAAAAACAUAGCCUUCAGCCAAACAAGUAUUGAAGGUGAUGCCUGCCCAGUGACACCAUGUUUAACGGCCGCGGUAUCCUAACCGUGCAAAGGUAGCGCAAUCAAUUGUCCCAUAAAUCGAGACCUGUAUGAAUGGCUAAACGAGGUCUUAACUGUCUCCUGUAGAUAAUCGGUGAAACUGAUCUCUCUGUGCAAAAGCAGAGAUAGACACAUAAGACGAGAAGACCCUGUGGAACUUCAAAAUCAAUAGCCACCCCACCCAACUUACUAGCCCACCCGGGCCCACUACCUAAAACACUGGCUAACAUUUUUAGGUUGGGGCGACCUUGGAGAAAAACAGACCCUCCAAAAACAGGGCCAAGCCCCCUAACUAAGAGCAACCCCUCGACGUGCCAACAGCACCCAGACCCAGUAAAUCUGACCAAUGGACCAAGCUACCCCAGGGAUAACAGCGCAAUCUCCCCCAAGAGCCCUUAUCGACGAGGAGGUUUACGACCUCGAUGUUGGAUCA